rnacentral:rRNA from 1 species
AACGAACGCUGGCGGCAGGCUUAACACAUGCAAGUCGAGCGCCCGCAAGGGAGCGGCAGACGGGUGAGUAACGCGUGGGAAUCUACCUAGUUCUACGGAACAACACAGGGAAACUUGUGCUAAUACCGUAUACGCCCUACGGGGGAAAGAUUUAUCGGAAUUAGAUGAGCCCGCGUUGGAUUAGCUAGUUGGUGGGGUAAUGGCCUACCAAGGCGACGAGCCAUAGCUGGUCUGAGAGGAUGAUCAGCCACACUGGGACUGAGACACGGCCCAGACUCCUACGGGAGGCAGCAGUGGGGAAUAUUGGACAAUGGGCGAAAGCCUGAUCCAGCCAUGCCGCGUGAGUGAUGAAGGCCUUAGGGUUGUAAAGCUCUUUCAGUAGGGAAGAUAAUGACGGUACCUACAGAAGAAGCCCCGGCUAACUUCGUGCCAGCCGCCGCAGUAA